rnacentral:tRNA from 1 species
GGAAUUGUGCCUGAAUGCUUAAGGACCACCUUGAUAGCGUGGCUGAUAGGGGUUCAAGU